GGGUUCGCAGGGGUUUCAGAGAACCUCUAGCUAAAAUUCUGUGCAGUUCGGAGAAUCCCCAAAUCCCAACUCCUGGCUGGCCCUCCCCAUCCCGGUCCUCAAGUGGCCCGUUUUGGAUGCAGGGCUCCUUGAAAACUUGCAAAGUAACAUAUUACAAAAAAGAUCCAUUAUGCAGAGACAACAAUGAAGCAAUAUGCAAAAACUGAAUGCAUGUUUUUUCUUUUAUCAGUUUUCUCUAAAUCCCACAGCACAGUCUGUUGGGAAUAAAAAGUAUUUUGGAUGUUA